UACGGGGGUGGCAAGCGUUGUUCGGAAUUACUGGGCGUAAAGGGCGCGUAGGCGGUUCGCUAAGUUGGAUGUGAAAACUCUGGGCUCAACCCAGAGCCUGCAUCCAAAACUGGCGGGCUAGAGUUCUGGAGGGGGUAGCGGAAUUCCUGGUGUAGCGGUGAAAUGCGUAGAUAUCAGGAGGAACACCAGUGGCGAAGGCGGCUCACUGGCCCGAUACUGACGCUGAGGUGCGAAAGCGUGGGGAGCAAACAGG
rnacentral:rRNA from 1 species